CAUGCAAUAUGUUUGUUUUGGUUUCUGGGUUCUUGAAGAAAAAUUGAGCUGCCGUCGUUGCCGUAGCCGAUAAUACUAAACUAAAAGAUGAAAGCAAUCAUUCAAAGAGUAACGUCGGCUAAAGUAACAGGUAAACGUGAUGAUCUUUUGCCCAAAAAGGUGCAGUGUUAAUGCUACAAGGAUAACCACCGUGACGAAAAACUUUAGAUACUUGAAUAGCACGUCCCGAAAUGGGAAAGGGUGUUUCAUCUUCAGGAGUUUCAUGUCGCUUCACGAAAUUUUGGAUUGCUACCCCGUAUAAGUUCCUAAGACGAAGUUCAUUGUCAAAAUGCUGAACCAUAGCACUGCCGCUCUUAGCUAGUCCUUCCCAUAUGUAAUUUCGUCAAUUUUGAGGUAAUG
rnacentral:misc_RNA from 1 species